AUGAACGCUGGCGGCGUGCCUAAUACAUGCAAGUCGCGCGAACAGACGAGGAACUUGCUCCUCUGACGUUAGCGGCGGACGGGUGAGUAACACGUGGAUAACCUACCUAUAAGACUGGGAUAACUUCGGGAAACCGGAGCUAAUACCGGAUAAUAUAUUGAACCGCAUGGUUCAAUAGUGAAAGACGGUUUUGCUGUCACUUAUAGAUGGAUCCGCGCCGCAUUAGCUAGUUGGUAAGGUAACGGCUUACCAAGGCAACGAUGCGUAGCCGACCUGAGAGGGUGAUCGGCCACACUGGAACUGAGACACGGUCCAGACUCCUACGGGAGGCAGCAGUAGGGAAUCUUCCGCAAUGGGCGAAAGCCUGACGGAGCAACGCCGCGUGAGUGAUGAAGGUCUUCGGAUCGUAAAACUCUGUUAUUAGGGAAGAAUAAAUGUGUAAGUAACUAUGCACGUCUUGACGGUACCUAAUCAGAAAGCCACGGCUAACUACGUG
rnacentral:rRNA from 1 species